UAGUCUAACCCUCGGGAGGACGUUUACCACGGAGUGAUUCAUGACUGGGGUGAAGUCGUAACAAGGUAGCCCUAGGGGAACCUGGGGCUGGAUCACCUCCUUAUACGA
rnacentral:rRNA from 2 species